AGGGUGAGAAUCCCGUAUGUGGCCCGAGGCCUGCGCCCGUGUAAAGCUCUUUCGACGAGUCGAGUUGUUUGGGAAUGCAGCUCAAAAUGGGUGGUAAAUUUCAUCUAAAGCUAAAUAUGGGCCAGAGACCGAUAGCGCACAAGUAGAGUGAUCGAAAGAUGAAAAGCACUUUGGAAAGAGAGUUAAACAGUACGUGAAAUUGUUGAAAGGGAAGCGCUUGCACCCAGACUUGGGCGCUGCUGAUCAUCCAGAGUUCUCUCUGGUGCACUCGACAGCGCACAGGCCAGCAUCGGUUCGGGUGGCUGGAGAAAGACUGGAGGAACGUAGCUCCCUUUCGGGGGAGUGUUAUAGCCUCUGGUGCCAUGCAGCCCAGCCGGACCGAGGACCGCGCCUUCGGGCUAGGAUGCUGGCGUAAUGGGUGUAAGCGACCCGUCUUGAAACACGGACCAAGGAGUCUAACAUCUAUGCGAGUGUUUGGGCGUAAAACCCAUACGCGGAAUGAAAGUGAACGUAGGUGAGAACCCUUUGGGGUGCAUCAUCGACCGAUCCUGAUGUCUUCGGAUGGAUUUGAGUAAGAGCAUAGCUGUUGGGACCCGAAAGAUGGUGAACUAUGCCUGAAUAGGGUGAAGCCAGAGGAAACUCUGGUGGAGGCUCGCAG
rnacentral:rRNA from 1 species